UAUUGGAAAAUGUGCCUGGAAUAAAAA
rnacentral:rRNA from 1 species